rnacentral:sRNA from 1 species
CUCAACAACUGCAGGAAGAUAAAGCAGAGAAGGCGGGUACUCUUCAUUUCCAAUCAUAAACGUCAUGUUUCUCUAGUCCUCUACUGUAACGCCCGUGAACCGAAAAAUCGGUUAGGGUUUGUUUUUAAAUCAUCUGGUUUAAUUGGUUGGGUUAAUUGGAAACCCUAGAGUGUGCCUAUAAAAUAAGGAAACUCGAAAUUAGGGCUUUAGUUAGCCACUUUUCGUUUUAUAAAGGAGAAAAAGAGAGAAAAGGAGAAUGAGCAGAAUCGUUAGGGUUUGGGAGAAAUCAGUUUCGUCAUAUCAAAUCGUGGUAAAAGGUAACGAAAUUUGGUAGAGUUAUUCCCAAGUCCUUUAUCGUUAUUUUCUAGUUUACAGAAUUGGAUUUGGAUUAAAAUUGGUUGAGUUAUUCGCAGUUUCGUGAGACACGUUUUCUCAAACGCGAAUUAGGACCAGCGGAGAUUGAAACUAAGAUCGUGGUCUCGUCUGUUCUUUGAUCGGCAGGAGAUUUUGUGGGCCGUUUUGUGACGUCUGCAGAUCAGAUUUCACCGGAGCGAUUGAAUAGUUAACGGUUAGCUUGUAUUUUAGGGUUUCAUCUUUGAGACUGCUUGUUUCUGGUGUUUUCCUGUCCAUUUUGCUUCAAGGUUGCUUUUGGUUGUGGACUUGUUGUAAGACGUUUCUGGACUGUUUCAGACGCAAGGAGAGUCUCUCCUGGGUUUAAUUGCUAUUAGAAUCAAUUUGUUAAGGUGAGUGCGUGACCAUGAGCUUAUCUGAGCGAUUGGGUUGUGUGAUUUGUUUUGUGUGAUGAUAUGUAGGUGUGGUGAAUGUGUUUUGGGUGAAUUGUUCAAUGACUGGUUUGUUUGUAUUGUAUUCGUGAUUAUACCUUUGUAUUUGCUUGUGUGUAUAGCUCAUAGAUGGGAGGAUCGCCUCACUAAGUAUUUAUGAUAAUACUUACGCAUCUCAUUGUGUUGUUGAUGCAAGUAAAGAUAAAGUGUGAUCGUGGAAUCAUGGCAAGGAAGAGAGGAUGAUCUAGGAACUCGUUUGUUUGAUUUUUGGUGUUUUUGGUUAUUGGAACCCGGUUAGGAUUGUCAGUUAUUCUUGGUUUUGUUGGUCGAAUUAUUUAUUUAUUCAUAAAAUAGUAUUUUUGACUUACGGUUUAAUUAUUAUGUUAUUGGUUGUUUUAAUUAGAUAUUUAUGGGAAUAUUUAAUUAUAUUUUUUAAAAAAAAAUGGGUCGGGUUGUUUCAAUUUGGUAUCAGAGCGAUUACGGUUCUAGGAUGUGUAGAAAAAUUAUUUGAUGAAUUAUUUUCCUGUUGAUUGAUGUGGGAUGAGCUAGGGUGUUAGCAUAUUGAGGAUUGAUUAUGGAGUGUUUAGUCAAUUGUGUGUAGUUGGAGUCCUAGCAUCAUCUUCUCCGAGCCUUAAAUGAGAUUCGACGGCAAGUUGUUUGUAAUAUAUUCGUUUGUUUUAGUUUCUUAGCCAUUUGUUCUUGAGUAGCGCAGAUGGUUAGAGGAGCUGGAGUUCGUGGUCGUGGUCGCGGUCGUGGUCACGGUAGGGGACGAGUCCUCGAGGGUACCGGCGAGAGUGAUGGCCACAGUGCCACAGUUGAGCAGAGUGUGGGUUCGCAGCCUGAGUUUGUGGAGCCCGGGGUUAGGAACGGUCUUGGUGCCGAUAUAGCUGGUGCAGCCGGAGUGGGGGCUGGUGGAGCUGGUGUCGGUACCAGUGUGCAUGCCGUUGGUGCUGAGGGCCCAGGACUGAUGGGUGCCGCAGCUGGAGGAGCCCAGGUUCCAGAGGUUGGUUUGGCGGGCCUGUUGAGGCAGUUGUUGGAGCGGUUACCAGGUGUGGUACCAGUGGAGGCUCCAGUUGCGCCACGAGUGGCGGAGGUGCAGCAGCGGGCUGCGGUUGCUGAGGAGGUUCCAUCUUAUUUGAGGAUGAUGGAGCAGUUGCAGAGGAUUGGCACCGGUUAUUUCUCUGGUGGUACUAGUCCUGAGGAGGCCGACAGUUGGAGGUCGCGGGUUGAGCGGAACUUCGGUUCGAACAGAUGCCCGGCGGAGUAUCGGGUAGAUCUAGUAGUGCAUUUUCUAGAGGGGGAUGCACAUUUGUGGUGGCGGAGUGUGACUGCCAGAAGGAGGCAGGAGGAUAUGUCUUGGGCAGAUUUCGUGGCUGAGUUUAAUGCCAAGUACUUUCCGCAGGAGGCGCUCGACCGUAUGGAGGCGCGUUUUCUUGAGCUGACACAGGGUGAGCGGUCGGUUCGGGAGUAUGACCGGGAGUUUAACCGACUCUUGGCGUAUGCGGGUCGGGGCAUGGAGGAUGACCAGGCCCAGAUGAGGAGGUUCUUGAGGGGACUUCGACCAGAUUUGAGAGUGAGGUGUAGAGUGUCGCAGUACGCCACGAAGGCGGCACUGGUGGAGACGGCUGCUGAGGUAGAGGAGGACCUUCAGAGGCAGGUGGUGGGAGUGAGUCCAGCGGUACAACCGAAGAAGACUCAGCAGCAGGUGACACCUAGCAAGGGCGGCAAGCCUGCACAGGGGCAGAAGAGGAAGUGGGAUCAUCCUUCCAGAGCUGGACAGGGUGGUCGUGCAGGAUGUUUUUCUUGUGGGAGCCUUGACCACAAGGUGGCGGAUUGCACGCAGCGAGCUGAGACGAGGGAGUGCUACCACUGCAGGGAGAGGGGACAUCUCCACGUCAAGGUUGCUGGAGGGCAGUUUCUAGCGGUUCUGGAGAGAGCGAAGGGUGUAGAUAUUCAGAUUGCAGGGGAGUCAAUGCCAGCAAAUUUGAUUAUCAGCCCUGUAGAGUUGUAUGAUGUUAUUCUGGAAAUGGAUUGGUUGGAUUAUUACAGAGUACAUCUUGACUGCCACCGUGGGAGAGUUUCUUUUGAGCGGCCAGAGGGAAGGUUGGUUUAUCAGGGAGUGAGACCUAUCUCAGGGAGUCUCGUCAUCUCAGCAGUGCAGGCAGAGAAAAUGAUCGAGAAGGGCUGCGAGGCUUACCUGGUGACGAUAUCUAUGCCGGAGUCUGUGGGGCAGGUAGCAGUGAGCGACAUUCGGGUUGUUUAGGAGUUCGAGGAUGUGUUUCAAUCGUUGUAGGGAUUACCACCAUCAUGGUCUGAUCCUUUCACGAUUGAGUUGGAACCAGGGACAGCGCCGUUGUCUAAGGCACCCUACAGGAUGGCUCCAGCAGAGAUGGCAGAGCUAAAGAAGCAGCUAGAGGAUUUGUUGGGUAAGGGAUUCAUUCGUCCUAGUACUUCACCUUGGGGAGCGCCGGUGUUAUUUGUGAAAAAGAAGGACGGGAGUUUCCGCUUAUGUAUUGACUACCGGGAGUUGAACCGGGUCACUGUGAAGAACAAGUACCCUUUGCCAAGGAUCGAUGAGUUGUUGGAUCAGUUGAGGGGUGCUACUUGUUUCUCCAAAAUCGAUUUGACGUCAGGUUAUCACCAGAUCCCGAUAGCGGAGGCAGAUGUUCGCAAGACUGCUUUCAGGACGAGAUAUGGACAUUUUGAGUUCGUGGUGAUGCCUUUCGGGUUGACUAAUGCACCUGCAGCGUUCAUGAGGUUGAUGAACAGCGUGUUCCAGGAGUUUUUGGAUGAGUUUGUGAUCAUCUUUAUUGAUGACAUUCUGGUGUAUUCUAAGAGUCCUGAGGAGCAUGAGGUACAUCUGAGGAGAGUGAUGGAGAAGCUGCGGGAGCAGAAGUUGUUCGCUAAGUUGAGUAAGUGUAGUUUCCGGCAGAGAAAGAUGGGUUUUCUGGGUCACAUUGUUUCUGCAGAGGGAGUUUCAGUGGAUCUAGAGAAGAUUGAGACUAUCAGAGAUUGGCCUACACCGACGAAUGCCACUGAGAUCAGGAGUUUUCUUGGGUUGGCAGGGUAUUACAGGAGGUUCGUCAAGGGGUUUGCGAAUAUGGCACAGCCGAUGACUAAGCUGACGGGGAAGGAUGUUCCUUUUGUGUGGUCACCGGAGUGCGAGGAGGGUUUCGUGAGCCUGAAGUAGAUGUUGACGAGUACACCAGUGUUAGCAUUGCCAGAGCAUGGAGAGCAUUACAUGGUGUAUACUGAUGCCUCGGGAGUUGGUUUGGGUUGUGUUCUAAUGCAGCGUGGGAAGGUUAUUGUCUAUGCAUCACGGUAAUUGAGGAAGCAUGAGGGCAACUAUCCUACUCACGAUUUGGAGAUGGCUGCAGUAAUCUUUGCCUUGAAAAUUUGGAGGUCUUAUCUUUAUGGCGGGAAAGUGCAGGUGUUCACGGAUCAUAAGAGUUUAAAGUAUAUCUUCACUCAGCCAGAGCUGAACCUGAGGCAGAGGCGAUGGAUGGAGUUGGUGGCUGAUUAUGAUCUGGAGAUACCUUACCAUCUCGGUAAGGCUAAUGUGGUUGCAGACGCGUUGAGCCGUAAGCCCGUGGGCGCGGCUCCAGGACAGAGUGUUGAGGCCUUGGUGAGUGAGAUUGAUGCUUUGCGGUUGUGUGCUGUGGCACGAGAGCCAUUGGGAUUGGAAGCUGUGGAUCGAGCAGAUCUUCUGAUUAGAGUUCGGUUGGCUCAGGAGAAGGAUGAGGGGUUGAUUGCGGCUUCUAAGGCAAAGGGCUCUGAGUAUCAGUUUGCAGCUAAUGGGACUAUCCUUGUGCAUGGGCGAGUUUGUGUGCCUAAGGAUGAGGAGUUGCGACGGGAGAUCUUGAGUGAGGCUCAUGCGAGCAUGUUUUCCAUUCAUCCAGGAGCGACUAAGAUGUACCGAGACCUCAAGCGGUACUAUCAAAGCGUCGGGAUGAAGAGGGAUGUAGCUAAUUGGGUUGCAGAGUGCGAUGUUUGUCAGUUAGUUAAGGCUGAGCAUCAGGUGCCAGGUGGCAUUUUGCAGAGUUUACCCAUUCCUUAGUGGAAGUGGGAUUUUAUCACGAUGGAUUUUGUGGUUGGGUUGCCUGUGUCGCGAACCAAAGAUGCUAUUUGGGUGAUCGUGGACCGUCUGACUAAGUCAACAUAUUUUCUGGCCAUCAGAAAAACCGAUGGAGCGGCGGUGUUGGCUAAGAAAUAUGUGAGCGAGAUCGUGAAGUUGCAUAGAGUACCUGUGAGUAUUGUGUCAGACAGGGAUUCCAAGUUUACUUCUGCAUUUUGGAGAGCCUUUCAGGCAGUGAUGGGUACUAAGGUGCAGAUGAGCACGGUUUAUCAUCCACAGACAGAUGGGCAAUCUGAGAGGACUAUUCAGACGCUUGAGGAUAUGUUGCGGAUGUGUGUCUUGGAUUGGGGAGGUCAUUGGGCGGAUCACUUGAGUCUGGUAGAGUUUGCUUAUAACAAUAGCUAUCAGGCGAGUAUUGGGAUGGCUCCUUUUGAAGCGUUGUACGGGAGGCCAUGCAGGACACCGUUAUGG